rnacentral:rRNA from 1 species
AUAAUCAAUUGGCCUUUAAUUAAGGUCUAGAAUGAAAGGAUAAACGGAUAAACGCUGUCUCUUUUAAAUAAAAUGAAAUUAUUUAAGUAGUGAAAAUACUACUAAAUUAAUAAAAUAGACGAGAAGACCCUUAGAAUUUUACGAAAAAUAAAAUUUAUUUUCGAAUCGUUUUGUUGGGGCAACAAAAUUUAGCAUAAAAUAAAUCAAUUUAAAAUUAAAUAUAAUUGGCCGAAUAAUAGUAAGUGUAAAAAAAUUACCUUAGGGAUAACAGCAUAAUUUUAUUAAAGAUUGU